rnacentral:rRNA from 1 species
UUUCCGUAGCAAUACGGGGAUGGGCGCACGGCGCACGGGUGCGUAACACGUGGGCAAUCUGCCCUCCGAUGGGGAAUACCCCCGCGAAAGCGGGACUAAUUCCGCAUAACAUUCCUUGGAUUAACUUUCGAGGAUUCAAAGCAGCAAUGCGUCGGAGGAGGAGCCCGCGCCCGAUUAGCUAGUUGGUGAGGUAACGGCUCACCAAGGCAAUGAUCGGUAGCUGGUCUGAGAGGAUGGCCAGCCACACUGGAACUGAGACACGGUCCAGACUCCUACGGGAGGCAGCAGUGGGGAAUCUUGCACAAUGGGCGAAAGCCUGAUGCAGCGACGCCGCGUGGGGGAUGAAGCUUUUCGGAGUGUAAACCCCUUUCGACUGGGACGAAUGCCUCGCAAGAGGAGUGACGGUACCAGUAUAAGAAGCCCCGGCUAACUACGUGCCAGCAGCCGCGGUAAGACGUAGGGGGCCAGCGUUGUUCGGAAUUACUGGGUGUAAAGGGUUCGUAGGCGGUGUGGCAAGUCGGGAGUGAAAUCUCUGGGCUCAACCCAGAGACUGCUUCCGAAACUGCUGUGCUUGAGUGUGAGAGAGGCUCGUGGAAUUGCAGGUGUAGCGGUGAAAUGCGUAGAUAUCUGCAGGAACACCCGUGGCGAAAGCGGCGAGCUGGAUCACUACUGACGCUGAGGAACGAAAGCUAGGGGAGCAAACAGGAUUAGAUACCCUGGUAGUCCUAGCCCUAAACGAUCAGGACUUGGGGUGCCGCCCGUUCGGGCGUCGUCCCGGAGCUAACGCGUUAAGUCCUGCACCUGGGGAGUACGGUCGCAAGACUGAAACUC